rnacentral:rRNA from 1 species
GACGGGGGGUGCAAGCGUUAAUCGGAUUGACUGGGCGUAAAGGGCGCGUAGGCGGUCAUUAAAGUUAGAUGUGAAAUACUCGGGCUUAACCUGGGGGCUGCAUCUAAAACUAAAUAACUAGAGUUCGGUAGAGGAAAGCGGAAUUCCCGGUGUAGCGGUGAAAUGCAUAGAUAUCGGGAGGAACAUCAGUGGCGAAGGCGGCUUUCUGGACCGAAACUGACGCUGAAGUGCGAAGGCGUGGGGAGCAAACAGG